rnacentral:rRNA from 1 species
UACGGAGGGGGCUAGCGUUGUUCGGAAUUACUGGGCGUAAAGCGCACGUAGGCGGCUUUGUAAGUUAGAGGUGAAAGCCCCAGGGCUUAACCCCUGGAAUUGCCUUUAAGACUGCAUCGCUAGAAUCGUGGAGAGGUGAGUGGAAUUCCGAGUGUAGAGGUGAAAUUCGUAGAUAUUCGGAAGAACACCAGUGGCGAAGGCGACUCACUGGACA